UUAGAGUUUGAUCCUGGCUCAGAAUCAACGCUGGCGGCGUGCCUAACACAUGCAAGUCGAACGAGAAAGUGGAGCAAUCCAUGAGUACAGUGGCGACCGGGUGAGUAACACGUGACUAACCUACCUUCGAGUGGGGGAUAACAUCGGGAAACCGAUGCUAAUACCGCAUAACAUCGCAAGAUCAAAGCAGCAAUGCGCUUGAAGAGGGGGUCGCGGCUGAUUAGCUAGUUGGAAGGGUAAUGGCCUACCAAGGCUGAGAUCGGUAUCCGGCCUGAGAGGGCGCACGGACACACUGGAACUGAAACACGGUCCAGACUCCUACGGGAGGCAGCAGUGGGGAAUUUUGCGCAAUGGGGGAAACCCUGACGCAGCAACGCCGCGUGGAGGAUGAAGUCCCUUGGGACGUAAACUCCUUUCGACCCGGAAGAUACUGACGGUACGGGUGGAAG
rnacentral:rRNA from 1 species